GCAAUACAACAGCCUUUCACAUUUUCAAUUGAUCGAAUGGAAAAAUAGGGGUGGAUUCUGUUAUGAUUUAAAAUUUUUUUUUUUUUUAGGUUGGGGAAGGAAGGUGGUAGUUUCGAUAGCAAGGGGCUAUCACUUUCUUCUGCCAUCAGAGGGUGCCCUCUGCUUUCCCAGAACGGGUUAUUCCAUAAAUGCCCUGGGGCUGGGAGUGAAGGGACUUGGGCUGAGUCUGGCUGAUCUGGCAGGGAAAUGCCCAAGGACUGGAAUCCUCAUAACCCAACUGUCUUCCACUUCAAGUAAUGAAACCUCCAGCUCCUUGAUUUUGGCUCCUCUGUAGGGACUAGAUUGGUUGGCUCUAUGGACAAGGGAAAUAAGGGCAGUGGGAGAAAAGGGAGAACAAGGAAGAUUUCUGUUCACUCUCUUGAUCUGUAAGGUAUCAUCAAGUGGAGGCAUUUGGCUACUUUUUUCGAAGCUAUCAUGGCUUAUCACCAAUAAGCAAUUCCCAAUCUGACCCAGUGUGUUCAGGUUUAAGGGACAAAGAUGACCUUGGCAAACCAUUUUUGACCAAAUGGAAAGAGCACUGGAUUGGGAGUCAUCAGACCAUGGCCAGGUCCUAGCUGCUCAUGUCAUCCUGAGCAAGGCAAGUCAUGUCCCUUCUCUGAAAUUCAGUUUUCACAUGUAUAAAAAAAGGGAGUAGGAUCUGAUCAUUGCUAAAGUCCCUUCUGGCUUUCGGAUUCAUAACUUAAGAGUGUCUGGGCAGGGGAGGGUUAGGAUUUAGGAGAAGGUUGAGGCACUGGGUGAUUGUCAAGACGAGUGCCAGUGGAAAAUAGAGACCUGAACAGAAACAGUGCUGAGGAUGGUUCCGAAGCACACAAGUAAGGGCAAGGAGGAAUCGGACUUCCUGGAGGAAAUUCUAGUCCAGCCCAUCUGAGAUGCUUUUGUUUAGUCAGAGAUAUGCCAUGCUUUUCUGGAAAGACCCUGACCUGAUUUAACGCCCUCAAGAUUGUAUUGGCUCAGUGCAGAAAUGGGGGAAGUGGGGGAUGCCCUGGGGUUAAGGGGCAAAGAAGGGGUGACUGUGUAGAAAC
rnacentral:lncRNA from 1 species